CUCUGGCAGUGACGGACAUCGGACUUCAACAGCGACCUGAAGGUUACAGUCUACAAUCAUCAUCGUCUCCGUGUGGAAGCAAGAUGAAGGCCAGUGUCAUCGUCCUCCUGGCGCUCCUUUUCGUCGUCAUGGUGACAGCCACUCCUAAUGGUGGGUCAGACGACCAGCAGCAAGAAGUGAGCAGACGACAGCCAUCACCGGCAGCAGCAGCCGAGGCGAAGGCAGAAAACAAACGUCUGGUUUGGAACGGUAUGGGCUUUAUCCCCGGGAUGACAGCUGGCUGAACUCAGCCACGUACCCUGUCGACGACUGCCGUACCCACGUACCCUGUCGAUCAACGGCCCAACGGUGACGUCACCCAAUAAGUUUCAAUAAAACUGCAGAAAAAAAA